rnacentral:rRNA from 1 species
CAUCGAAUCUUUGAACGCACCUUGCGCUCCUUGGUAUUCCGAGGAGCACGCCUGUUUGAGUGUCAUUUAAUGCUCAACCAUCCCUCGAUUCGUUUCGAGGUUUGGCUUGGAUUUUGGGGGCUGCCGGGCGACCCUAGGGUCCUCGGCUCUCCUUAAAAGCAUUAGCGAUGGUGGAACGAUCUAACCCCAUGCAUGAACGGCCUUCGACGUGAUAAUGAUCGUCGUGGCUGGAGUGCUAGCGGGCGUCGUGAAAUUGGCGCUUCUAAAUCUCGUCGAAAGACGAAACUCGAAACUUGACCUCAAAUCAGGUAGGACUACCCGCUGAACUUAA